AGAUGGGAACUCAUUGUACAUUUUUGAAGUAGUUUGUCAUGCUGGAGGUUCAUUUAGGCAGUUCAAGUGGCUUGAAGCUCUUCUGGGAAGUUCAGCUGAUCUCUCCUAUCA
ensembl:miRNA Mir6371 microRNA 6371